rnacentral:rRNA from 1 species
UACGUAGGGGGCAAGCGUUGUCCGGAAUCAUUGGGCGUAAAGAGCGCGUAGGCGGUCCGGUAAGUCCGCUCUGAAAGUCCGGGGCUCAACCCCGGGAGGCGGGCGGAUACUGUCGGGCUAGAGUCCGGAAGAGGCGAGUGGAAUUCCUGGUGUAGCGGUGAAAUGCGUAGAUAUCAGGAGGAACACCUGUGGCGAAAGCGGCGCACUGGACCACAACUGACGCUGAGGCGCGAAAGCUAGGGGAGCAAACAGG